rnacentral:rRNA from 1 species
GGAUUAGAUACCCUGGUAGUCCACGCCGUAAACGAUGUCAACUAGCCGUUGGGGGGGUUACCCUUUAGUGGCGCAGCUAACGCGAUAAGUUGACCGCCUGGGGAGUACGGUCGCAAGAUUAAAACUCAAAGGAAUUGACGGGGGCCCGCACAAGCGGUGGAGCAUGUGGUUUAAUUCGAUGCAACGCGAAGAACCUUACCUACCCUUGACAUUGACAGAACCCUUUGGAGACAGAGGGGUGCCUUCGGGCCUGGAAAACAGGUGCUGCAUGGCUGUCGUCAGCUCGUGCCG